rnacentral:rRNA from 1 species
UACGUAGGGGGGCUAGCGUUGUCCGGAAUCAUUGGGCGUAAAGCGCGUGUAGGCGGUCCGGUAAGUCCGCUGUGAAAGUCGGUGGCUCAACCCUCGGAUGCCGGUGGAUACUGUCGGGCUUGAGUACGGAAGAGGAGAGCGGAAUUCCUGGUGUAGCGGUGGAAUGCGCAGAUAUCAGGAAGAACACCCGUGGCGAAGGCGGCUCUCUGGGACGGUACUGACGCUGAGACGCGAAAGCGUGGGGAGCGAACAGG